rnacentral:rRNA from 1 species
GAUGAACGCUGGCGGCGUGCCUAAUACAUGCAAGUCGAGCGAACGGACGAGAAGCUUGCUUCUCUGAUGUUAGCGGCGGACGGGUGAGUAACACGUGGAUAACCUACCUAUAAGACUGGGAUAACUUCGGGAAACCGGAGCUAAUACCGGAUAAUAUUUUGAACCGCAUGGUUCAAAAGUGAAAGACGGUCUUGCUGUCACUUAUAGAUGGAUCCGCGCUGCAUUAGCUAGUUGGUAAGGUAACGGCUUACCAAGGCAACGAUGCAUAGCCGACCUGAGAGGGUGAUCGGCCACACUGGAACUGAGACACGGUCCAGACUCCUACGGGAGGCAGCAGUAGGGAAUCUUCCGCAAUGGGCGAAAGCCUGACGGAGCAACGCCGCGUGAGUGAUGAAGGUCUUCGGAUCGUAAAACUCUGUUAUUAGGGAAGAACAUAUGUGUAAGUAACUGUGCACAUCUUGACGGUACCUAAUCAGAAAGCCACGGCUAACUACGUGCCAGCAGCCGCGGUAAUACGUAGGUGGCAAGCGUUAUCCGGAAUUAUUGGGCGUAAAGCGCGCGUAGGCGGUUUUUUAAGUCUGAUGUGAAAGCCCACGGCUCAACCGUGGAGGGUUAUUGGAAACUGGAAAACUUGAGUGCAGAAGGGGAAAGUGGAAUUCCAUGUGUAGCGGUGAAAUGCGCAGAGAUAUGGAGGAACACCAGUGGCGAAGGCGACUUUCUGGUCUGUAACUGACGCUGAUGUGCGAAAGCGUGGGGAUCAAACAGGAUUAGAUACCCUGGUAGUCCACGCCGUAAACGAUGAGUGCUAAGUGUUAGGGGGUUUCCGCCCCUUAGUGCUGCAGCUAACGCAUUAAGCACUCCGCCUGGGGAGUACGACCGCAAGGUUGAAACUCAAAGGAAUUGACGGGGACCCGCACAAGCGGUGGAGCAUGUGGUUUAAUUCGAAGCAACGCGAAGAACCUUACCAAAUCUUGACAUCCUUUGACAACUCUAGAGAUAGAGCCUUCCCCUUCGGGGGACAAAGUGACAGGUGGUGCAUGGUUGUCGUCAGCUCGUGUCGUGAGAUGUUGGGUUAAGUCCCGCAACGAGCGCAACCCUUAAGCUUAGUUGCCAUCAUUAAGUUGGGCACUCUAAGUUGACUGCCGGUGACAAACCGGAGGAAGGUGGGGAUGACGUCAAAUCAUCAUGCCCCUUAUGAUUUGGGCUACACACGUGCUACAAUGGACAAUACAAAGGGCAGCGAAACCGCGAGGUCAAGCAAAUCCCAUAAAGUUGUUCUCAGUUCGGAUUGUAGUCUGCAACUCGACUACAUGAAGCUGGAAUCGCUAGUAAUCGUAGAUCAGCAUGCUACGGUGAAUACGUUCCCGGGUCU